AUACGGAGGAUCCGAGCGUUAUCCGGAUUUAUUGGGUUUAAAGGGAGCGUAGGCGGACGCUUAAGUCAGUUGUGAAAGUUUGCGGCUCAACCGUAAAAUUGCAGUUGAUACUGGGUGUCUUGAGUACAGUAGAGGCAGGCUGCAUUCGUGGGGUAGCGGUGGAAUGCUUAGAUAUCACGAAGAACUCCGAUUGCGAAGGCAGCCUGCUGGACUGUAACUGACGCUGAUGCUCGAAAGUGUGGGUAUCAAACAGGAUUAGAUACCCUGGUAGUCCACACAGUAAACGAUGAAUACUCGCUGUUUGCGAUAUACAGUAAGCGGCCAAGCGAAAGCGUUAAGUAUUCCACCUGGGGAGUACGCCGGCAACGGUGAAACUCAAAGGAAUUGACGGGG
rnacentral:rRNA from 1 species